AUUGAACGCUGGCGGCAGGCUUAACACAUGCAAGUCGAGCGGAGUGAUGGUGCUUGCACUAUCACUUAGCGGCGGACGGGUGAGUAAUGCUUAGGAAUCUGCCUUUUAGUGGGGGACAACAUUCCGAAAGGAAUGCUAAUACCGCAUACGUCCUACGGGAGAAAGCAGGGGAUCUUCGGACCUUGCGCUAAAUGAUGAGCCUAAGUCGGAUUAGCUAGUUGGUGGGGUAAAGGCCUACCAAGGCGACGAUCUGUAGCGGGUCUGAGAUGAUGAUCCGCCACACUGGGACUGAGACACGGCCCAGACUCCUACGGGAGGCAGCAGUGGGGAAUAUUGGACAAUGGACGGAAGCCUGAUCUAGCCAUGCCGCGUGUGUGAAGAAGGCCUUUUGGUUGUAAAGCACUUUAAGCGAGGAGGAGGCUCUUCUAGUUAAUACCUAGGAUGAGUGGACGUUACUCGCAGAAUAAGCACCGGCUAACUCUGUGCCAGCCGCCGCAGUAAAAC
rnacentral:rRNA from 1 species